UGAGCUGCAUUGCGCAGAUGCACCACGACGUAAGGUCGGAUGAUGUGACGAAUGUAGUCCUGAGCCAAUGAACUGUGCCUACGUGGACUGGGCUGAGGGGGAGUGGACUGGAGGGGAAAAAGGGGGAUGGCCGAGAGAGGUCGGGGCAUUCUUUUUCCUACACAUUGUGAAGUUCCUGAAUAAACUGCCUUGAGAAGGACAUCAGUUUUGUUGCUUCUUUUCUGCUGGUCGGAGACGGUAGCGACAAGUGGUGGAACCCGUACGGGGACAUGACGAGUCCAGAAUUCUCGGCAGUCAGGGUAGUUGGCUGGAAAGCUCCCAGGAUCAUCGCCAGCUGCUGUGGGUUCCAGAGCGAUUGACGAGGAUAGUUCAAGAUGGACGGGGGUGCCCUGAUGAAGCUGCUCCUGGGGGUGAUGAUGCUGCCUGCAGUGAUGACUGAAGAUCUGCGAUGGGCCCCCUUUUGUAGGGGUAUUCGAGAUUCGCUGCCCCCAUGGACCAGCUGCCAGUCUAGGAAAGCUGCGUGGGCCAUGAAAAAAUAUUUUACCUUUUCUCCUUAUAUUAGUACCAGUCAUAAUCAAACGUUUUCAGGGUUUAAUUGGACGUAUCAAAAUCCAGCCCAGAGAGGGGCAAACAAUCCCUUUAAUGUUUGGCUGUUGUGUGGGAUAAAUUGGGAGUUGUACAGAUCUUUCUUCUUUGAGUAUGUUGAUGGGUGAGGCGUGGGGAAAUACUAGCUUUUAUUGGAAUGGAUCUGUAUUAUUUGAGUCUUCUGUUAUUUAAUUUGCUUAUGGGAAGAAUGUAUUCUUUAAGGCCAUGCCUGUAUGCAUUUGGCCUCCUUUUGUAUUUUUAGUUUAUAAUGGUAGUUAUUUUGAUGAUGUUGUAGAGUGUAAGGAGGAUAGUUGUUUUUAUAGUAUGUGUUGGUUGGAAUGCUUCUAUGUUUUCUUUAGCUAUUGUGACCAGAAUGCCUAGAUUUGUACUAUGGCCCGUGCAGACCCCUUCAGUUAUGAACUUGUUUAGAUCCAAGAGAGGUUUUAGAAUAGUUCAUAUCAAUUCCACUCGGGUGGAGGUAUCCAUGGCUGAAGGACUUGCAAAUUGGAUUGCCACCGCUAUGUCAUACCUAAAGGAAUGGGUCGGUAUUGGUGGAUUGGCACUGUGCUGCGUGCUCAUCAGUGUCCUGGCCUUUUGGUGUAUCUGCCGCAUGCAACUUCACCAUCGCAGGGAUCAAGCUUUGUUGAUACAAGCCUUUGCAGCUGUGGAGAUGGGACAGUCUCCUCAAGUGUGGCUUGGCAUGCUAGGGAAGUAGUCAAUGUUGGGUAAGACUCCCUGGAUGUGUUACCAACCUAAGACAGGGAUCAGACCACUGUUGUCUGUCUCCUGAUGACGGGUAAGGAGCAUUGUUGCGGGGGGGGGGGGCAACCUAAGACAGGCAUUCUCUCUGCCAAUUUAAAGAAUAAGGGGGAGAUGUGAGGAGUGGGUGUGGCCGCAGCCCCAAGAUAGCGCCCGGGACUGCUGCUAAGUCUUAUGACUGGCACCUGACUUCCUCAUAUCCCUCAAGAUAGCCAUGUACCUUGAGCUGCAUUGCGCAGAUGCACCACGACGUAAGGUCGGAUGAUGUGACGAAUGUAGUCCUGAGCCAAUGAACUGUGCCUACGUGGACUGGGCUGAGGGGGAGUGGACUGGAGGGGAAAAAGGGGGAUGGCCGAGAGAGGUCGGGGCAUUCAUUUUCCUGCACAUUGUGAAGUUCCUGAAUAAACUGCCUUGAGAAGGA